rnacentral:rRNA from 1 species
UAGGGAAUCUUCCGCAAUGGACGAAAGUCUGACGGAGCAACGCCGCGUGAGUGAAGAAUGAUUUCGGUUCGUAAAACUCUGUUGUCAGGGAAGAAAAAAUGUAUAGUAACUAUAUACAAAAGAGACGGUACCUAACCAGAAAGCCACGGCUAACUACGUGCCAGCAGCCGCGGUAAUACGUAGGUGGCAAGCGUUGUCCGGAAUUAUUGGGCGUAAAGCGCGCGCAGGUGGUUUAGAAAGUCUGAUGUGAAAGCCCACGGCUCAACCGUGGAGGGUCAUUGGAAACUAAUAAACUUGAGUGCAGGAGAGAAAAGUGGAAUUCCUAGUGUAGCGGUGAAAUGCGUAGAGAUUAGGAGGAACACCGGUGGCGAAAGCGGCUUUUUGGCCUGCAACUGACACUGAGGCGCGAAAGCGUGGGGAGCAAACAGG